GGGGACCCCCAGGAAAUGCCAGGCCAGUUACCUCCCUGGUGAAAGGUGAGGAGUGGUGCCUUAAUCCCAGCCCCCAUCUUUGGGUGGGUAAUCUUGAGGGCUGGGGGAGCAG